rnacentral:lncRNA from 1 species
UAAAUAUUACUCUUAAUAUUCAUACCUAUGUUUAAGACUUGAUAACUCCUUAUCCAUGAUCCAUGAGAUGUGAUCAUCAGUCUAUAUACAUAAUAGUCUUAAUGCUUUAAUGUAUUAAGACUUGAUAACUCCUUAUCCAUGAUCCAUGAGAUGUGAUCAUCAGUCUAUAUACAUAAUAGUCUUAAUGCUUUAAUGUUAUCCCACUUCACAAUAAAUCUCGAUUAUGGAUACUUUAAGAAUAACGUCCUUAUGUUUAAUGUGAUCUCAUGAUUAAGUCACACUUGAUACAUUAAACGGACUAUCUAUUCUAUGGACUUUAUUAGACAAACAUAAUAAAGAAAAAGCCUUUUAUUAUUAAUAAA